rnacentral:tRNA from 1 species
GCUGCUGUAGCUCAGUUGGUAGAGCACUUCCUUGGUAAGGAAGAGGUCAUGAGUUCGAGUCUCAUCAGCAGCUC